rnacentral:rRNA from 1 species
UACAGAGGGGCGAGCGUUGUUCGGAAUUACUGGGCGUAAAGGGCGCGUAGGCGGCCAACUAAGUCAGACGUGAAAUCCCUCGGCUCAACCGGGGAACUGCGUCUGAUACUGGAUGGCUUGAAUUCGGGAGAGGGAUGCGGAAUUCCAGGUGUAGCGGUGAAAUGCGUAGAUAUCUGGAAGGAACACCGGUGGCGAAGGCGGCAUCCUGGACCGAGAUUGACGCUGAUGCGCGAAAAGCCAGGGGAGCAAACGGGG